rnacentral:rRNA from 1 species
ACGCUCGACACCUACGGGGGCAGCAGUCGGGAAUAUUGCGCAAUGGAGGAAACUCUGACGCAGUGACGCCGCGUAUAGGAAGAAGGUUUUCGGAUUGUAAACUAUUGUCGUUAGGGAAGAGAAAGGACAGUACCUAAGGAGGAAGCUCCGGCUAACUACGUGCCAGCAGCCGCGGUAAUCUGAGCGGGCUGGCAAGGC